rnacentral:rRNA from 1 species
AGUGAACGCUGGCGGUAGGCCUAACACAUGCAAGUCGAACGGCAGCACAGUAUGAGCUUGCUCUUACGGGUGGCGAGUGGCGGACGGGUGAGGAAUACAUCGGAAUCUACUUUUUCGUGGGGGAUAACGUAGGGAAACUUACGCUAAUACCGCAUACGACCUACGGGUGAAAGCAGGGGAUCUUCGGACCUUGCGCGAUUGAAUGAGCCGAUGUCGGAUUAGCUAGUUGGCGGGGUAAAGGCCCACCAAGGCGACGAUCCGUAGCUGGUCUGAGAGGAUGAUCAGCCACACUGGAACUGAGACACGGUCCAGACUCCUACGGGAGGCAGCAGUGGGGAAUAUUGGACAAUGGGCGCAAGCCUGAUCCAGCCAUACCGCGUGGGUGAAGAAGGCCUUCGGGUUGUAAAGCCCUUUUGUUGGGAAAGAAAAGCAGCAGGUUAAUACCCCGCUGUUCUGACGGUACCCAAAGAAUAAGCUCCGGCUAACUUCGUG